AUGUCAUGCUGGGAUAGGAUUUGGGAUAAGUUUUGUGAAGAGUCACGUGAGAAGCUUGUUGAUGACAGUUGUUGGGCAGAAGUAGAGGCCAAGAGUUAUGCCCUGUUCAUGGGCUAUCUGUCCAUGGCCGUCAAAGGUCUUGGUUUCCUGGUGCUUACUUGGACCACCGUCGUUCUUCUUGGCGGUUUCAUUGACGACCUGCAAAACAAUGAUUUUUGGUGUCUUACAUUCAUCACCCUUGUGCAGACGGCUGGGAUCUUCGAUGUGCUUCUGACUGAAAAGCUGAGCUAUAUUGGAGAUGCAUUUACUAGCAUCGCGUAUGUUGAAUGCACCAGAAAGUCGGACAACAUAUGGCGAACUGUUCUGUCCAGGGUUCAUACUCUGGUCUUGGCCAUUUUCUUGUGCCCUCUGGUGGCUGUCUACAUGGGUGGGUUGGUAGUUUCGACCAUGCUUUCGGUGUGGCAUCUGAUACAACAAGAUUACCAUGCUGACGGAGUUAGAAACCUGAAGAAGGCGCUGCUUGUCUUGUAUUCCCUUGUUCUGCUCCAGGGUGUGACUUUCUGCUAUAAGCUCAUGAAUAGUUGGGCAAAGGGGUCUAUAGUGAAUGCAGUAGUCCACGAAAGAGGCUUUGAUAAGGAUUGUCGUGAUGGGAUAUCGGAUUACAUACGUGAAACAAUGAUCGGAUGUGAAAAGGACCCAUCUUCCGUUAAAGGAAGGAACCUCAUCACAUAUGCUGUGGGCCUGAUGGAGUCUAAGUCGCCUGACGACUACAUUUCCGGGGUAAGGAUCCUGGACGCUUUCGCCAAAAAACUGGAGGCAGCAGUGAAAGAGGUCGAGGGGGUAGACGAUCCGCACCAAUACACAAGGGAGAAUAUACUCAAGAAACAUCUGAUAAUGUCUGCAGCCUCUCCCGAUAUAGUCCAGAAGCUGCUGCAGACAUUGGGCCGCAUAAGCAUAUAUGACAGAGAGACGAGGGGGCAUGCCGCAAGGGUAGUGGCGAGCAUUGCUCACGACAUCCAUUUGGGGAAAUAUCCAAAGGCAAUUGGCUACAUAUCUUCCCUCCUUGACACAUACGAAGAAUACAGUAUUCUCCAACCAUAUAGGGCAGACUGGCUGUACGAGACAUAUGAACAAGAUUUCAAGCAAAUAUCCUUGCCGGUGAACCAAGAUGACAUCGUUGAGCAAGGGGACUAUGAUGUUGGCUUUGCGAAAACCUACAAGAAGCUGCUGGAGGUUGAGAGUGACCAUGACCUUCUGCAGGCCUACAAAAGGCUGGUGGAGCAAGGCUUUCGCAUCCUUCGGAAGCUCGCAGCCAACAAUGACAACUGCAGAGUCAUGUUCGGCACCCCAUAUCUGCUGCCAAAGAUUAUGGCGCCUGUGACCUCCGACCUACUCCACCACCGCAAUGAGGAUGGCCGCAUGAAGCACAUUGACAAUGCUGCAUGUUACAGCAUAGUACAAGGUUCAAUGAAGGUGAUUGCCCAGCUCACGGCUGCUACAGGGCAGAUAGGCACCAAGCUGCGUGAUGAAAUAUCAUGCAGUAUGGAAUUGAUCACAGCCAUGAGGACGAUUCUCGAGUGUAAAGAAUGCAAUGAGAUGCUGCAGAAAAUAGCUAUUUGGAUUCUCACGCACCUACACCAGGAUGAAAAUUCCAGUCCAGGGCAUGAAGGGACACAAGAAUUCAUUACGAUGUUGGUUGACAUCAUGACCCAUGAUAAAAAGUACAAGGAGGCUAGAAGGGUGGUAGCAGCUAAAGCACUGGUGGCUCUAUCAUCCGAAACCGGGAGUGCCAGGAUUAUCAUGGAGUCAAAUAACAAUCUUAUUCACAGUCUGACUAGAUUGAUUGUUGAAAAACGAAGAUGCUCACAAAUGGCAGCUGAAAUCCUUGAAAAUAUAUGCAUUCAUUGCAACGGUGAUGUUCAAAGCCUCAAAACGCUGAAGGAAGCUAUGCCCAUUGUGGUUCCAAAGCUGCUUGAAGAAAUACUUUUUUGGCCAACAGAAGACAUAUAG
rnacentral:rRNA from 1 species